ACGGUUCCCCGCGGGCGCACGAUGCGUCUGGCCGGGGUGAAAAGGGAAUGCGGUGCGCCCGGACGGGCAAGGCCGCAGCUGCCCCCGCAACUGUAAGCGGCGAGCGAGACCGGAAGAACCACUGGAGCCCAGCACGCACGCGCGUGUGGCUCCGGGAAGGCCGGAGGAGCCACGACCCGCAAGCCAGGAGACCUGCCGU
rnacentral:ncRNA from 2 species